rnacentral:rRNA from 1 species
AGUAAAAGUCGUAACAAGGUCUCCGUUGGUGAACCAGCGGAGGGAUCAUUACUGAGUUUACGCUCUACAACCCUUUGUGAACAUACCUAUAACUGUUGCUUCGGCGGGUAGGGUCUCCGCGACCCUCCCGGCCUCCCGCCUCCGGGCGGGUCGGCGCCCGCCGGAGGAUAACCAAACUCUGAUUUAACGACGUUUCUUCUGAGUGGUACAAGCAAAUAAUCAAAACUUUUAACAACGGAUCUCUUGGUUCUGGCAUCGAUGAAGAACGCAGCGAAAUGCGAUAAGUAAUGUGAAUUGCAGAAUUCAGUGAAUCAUCGAAUCUUUGAACGCACAUUGCGCCCGCCAGCAUUCUGGCGGGCAUGCCUGUUCGAGCGUCAUUUCAACCCUCAAGCUCUGCUUGGUGUUGGGGCCCUACAGCCGAUGUAGGCCCUCAAAGGUAGUGGCGGACCCUCCCGGAGCCUCCUUUGCGUAGUAACUUUACGUCUCGCACUGGGAUCCGGAGGGACUCUUGCCGUAAAACCCCCCAAUUUUCCAAAGGUUGACCUCGGAUCAGGUAGGAAUACCCGCUGAACUUAAGCAUA